GUAAGUAAAAGUCGUAACAAGGUAUCCGUAGGUGAACCUGCGGAAGGAUCAUUAUUGUAUAACCGAGGUGCGAGGGCUGUCGCUGACCCGAAAGGUCGUGCACGCCCGAGUGCCCUCACACACAUCCAUCUCACCCCUAUGUGCACCACCGCGUGGGUCCCCCUUUGGCUUGUUCGGAGGGGGGCUUACGUUUUCACACAAACUUUGUAUGCAGUGUAGAAUGUAUUUUUUGUUUUUGCGAUCACGCAAUCAAUACAACUUUCAACAACGGAUCUCUUGGCUCUC
rnacentral:misc_RNA from 1 species